AGUUUAUUGCUUUUUAUAAUAAAUUAUUCCUGCUCCAUGAUAAUUUUAAAUAGCCGCAGUACCCUGACUGUGCUAAGGUAGCAUAAUAAUUUGUCUUUUAAUUGAAGUCUUGAAUGAAUGGAUUUAUGAAGGGAAAACUUUAUUUGGUUUAGAAAACUAAUUUAUUUAGUAAGUGCAAAUUCUUACAAUAUUAAUAUUAGACGAGAAGACCCUAAGAGUUUAGAUAAAUAGUUGAAUCUUAUAAAGCCGUAUCAUUAGGGCUUAUUAUAAGUAGACUAUAAUAUUUAGCUGGGGCGGCUACUUAUCAUUUAGUAACAUAAGUAUAAUUAGUCAUUCAUAAAGAAUUUUUUACAUUUGAAUAAACUACCUUAGGGAUAACAGCAUAAUAUUUAAUAUGAUUGUGACCUCGAUGUUGGACUAGGUAAAUAUAAAGAUUAGAAGUCUUAAUUAUUUGUUCUGUUCGAACAUUUUUACCU
rnacentral:rRNA from 1 species